rnacentral:rRNA from 1 species
GAUGAACGCUGGCGGCGUGCUUAACACAUGCAAGUCGAACGGGGAAAGGGGAGCUUGCUCCCCAGACCUAGUGGCGGACGGGUGAGUAACGUGUGGGCAACCUACCCAUUACAGGGGAAUAACUGUGAGAAAUCACAGCUAAUACCGCAUAUGCUGUAAGCGUCGCAUGGCGCAAGCAGGAAAGAUUUAUCGGUAAUGGAUGGGCCCGCAUCUGAUUAGCUGGUUGGUGUGGUAACGGCACACCAAGGCGACGAUCAGUAGCCGACCUGAGAGGGUGAUCGGCCACAUUGGGACUGAGACACGGCCCAAACUCCUACGGGAGGCAGCAGUGGGGAAUAUUGCACAAUGGGGGAAACCCUGAUGCAGCAACGCCGCGUGAAGGAAGAAGGGUUUCGGCUCGUAAACUUCUAUCAUCGGGGAAGAAAUUAAUGACGGUACCCGAACAAGAAGCCCCGGCUAACUACGUGCCAGCAGCCGCCGUAAAAC